rnacentral:rRNA from 1 species
GUGAACGCUGGCGGUAGGCCUAACACCUGCCAGUCGAACGGCAGCACAGUAAGAGCUUGCUCUUACGGGUGGCGAGUGGCGGACGGGUGAGGAAUACAUCGGAAUCUACUUUUUCGUGGGGGAUAACGUAGGGAAACUUACGCUAAUACCGCAUACGUCCUACGGGUGAAAGCAGGGGAUCUUCGGACCUUGCGCGAUUGAAUGAGCCGAUGUCGGAUUAGCUAGUUGGCGGGGUAAAGGCCCACCAAGGCGACGAUCCGUAGCUGGUCUGAGAGGAUGAUCAGCCACACUGGAACUGAGACACGGUCCAGACUCCUACGGGAGGCAGCAGUGGGGAAUAUUGGACAAUGGGCGCAAGCCUGAUCCAGCCAUACCGCGUGGGUGAAGAAGGCCUUCGGGUUGUAAAGCCCUUUUGUUGGGAAAGAAAAGCAGCAGGUUAAUACCCCGCUGUUCUGACGGUACCCAAAGAAUAAGCACCGGCUAACUUCGUG